GGUGAGUAACGCGUGGGAAUCUACCCAAUUCUUCGGAACAACUGAGGGAAACUUCAGCUAAUACCGGAUACGCCCUACGGGGGAAAGAUUUAUCGGAAUUGGAUGAGCCCGCGUUGGAUUAGCUAGUUGGUGGGGUAAUGGCCUACCAAGGCGACGAUCCAUAGCUGGUCUGAGAGGAUGAUCAGCCACACUGGGACUGANACACGGCCCAGACUCCUACGGGAGGCAGCAGUGGGGAAUAUUGGACAAUGGGCGAAAGCCUGAUCCAGCCAUGCCGCGUGAGUGAUGAAGGCCUUAGGGUUGUAAAGCUCUUUCAGUAGGGAAGAUAAUGACGGUACCUACAGAAGAAGCCCCGGCUAACUUCGUGCCAGCAGCCGCGGUAAUACGAAGGGGGCUAGCGUUGUUCGGAUUUACUGGGCGUAAAGCGCACGUAGGCGGAUCGUUAAGUUGGGGGUGAAAUCCUGGAGCUCAACUCCAGAACUGCCUUCAAUACUGGCGAUCU
rnacentral:rRNA from 1 species